CAGGCGAUGAAAAACGGCGUCGUGGUGGCAUGUGCCGCGGGGAACGCCAGCCCUGCCAGGUCAACUCUAUCAAACAUGUUAAUUUGCUCCUCGCUUAUUACAGUAAACCUCAGAAGUCCAUGGCAGAUUUGGAGAAACUUCACAGAGACAUGAUGCAAAUCUUGCUUUACCAGCUUUUCAUCAAGGCCAUGAAAAGGUGUCUGUCAUUCUUAAAUAGCUUAAUACUCCACAUUCUAAUGAGCCCUUCGAUCAUAUUCAACGUGAAUUUUGCAGAAGUUGCCAAUAAAGAAGAUGAUUAUGUAGGUCCCAAAGAGUAGCAUCAUGUAAAAGUUCAUUUCCAGGAUGGAAUCUUGAAUCUAACAUCUUAUUGAUUCUUUUUUGGUGAAAGACCUAAGUGUUGAUUAAAAUGCACUAAGAUAAGUUAAUUUCCACAAUGCACUUGGAGCACAUCUUUCUUAAUAGCUAC
rnacentral:lncRNA from 1 species